GUCAGGAGAGCUAAAAUAGUAGGCAGGCCCAGUAACACAGAAAAUAAACUUCCUUUUCAGAAAGGAGCCUCCCCUCUUGGUUUCAUAAGCGUGUGCCGUUUAAGUCUGUACUGUCUGAAGGUGAAAAGAAACAUGUGAGAAGCACCUGCCUGGAUACCUUCGUUCCCUCUGCCUAUGGCAAGCAACCCUCACCUCAGUCUUUACUCAGGAGCGUACAAGCGUUAACCAAAGUCCAAUCCGUCAGCUGAGCCCAGGCACCCUACCCAACCCACCAGUCGAAGCUUCAGGCCAGAGCUGGAUUAACGCGGUGGGAGAGGCUGCCGAUGUCGCUGCUUUGCCCUUGACAAGUCUCUCGGUACCGCGCAGACCCCUCGUUCCGCGGGAAGCCAGCGUCCUGUCGGGACCUCCAGUCCCCGGCUGCCCCGCCGGCCCCUCCACGCUUCCCCUCUCCACUGCCGCCAGCCCUGCGGGGAAGGCGCUCCUUCCAAGGAAGGGGGUCCCACCUGCUCCGUCGUCGAGGGCCAUCGAGGGUCCCUGGUGGGAGAAUCCCCGAAACCGUGGCCGCCUGGCCGGCUGCGACGCGGCCGGGGUACCAACUGUCACGCCGCCGCCCGGGCGGUGGGGGGAGGGCUGGAUCCGCGGGUCGGCCCCUGCGCGACUGCGGACGCAGGGCGGGCACAGCCCAAGGCCCCCACCACAGUCGCUCGCCCCGACAGAGCACCCGGCAGCCUCCGGGCUGCACGCAGCACCACGGAAAAGGUGGCCACGGCCGCCUCCGCCUUCCUCCCCGCCCCAACUUGGCGGGGGCCCCGCGGGCGGCCCGCCCCUUCGGCCUUACCCUCCGCGAGAGAAGAGGCCGCGCCCCGAAGCGCCCGCCAGAGUGGAAAUCAUUCGGCCGAGAGCCUGGAGGAGGUCUGCACCUUGAGCAUGGUGCAGGCAGAUGGGCCUCACACUCUGAUGGAGCCCCUGGAGCCGGCCUUCCUGGGCAGCAGCUGCCCUAGCCCCAGCCCCUCCCUCCUGGACUCCUCCAGCGCCACAGACAUUUCCAGCCUGCAGGCCCUGAUGCUGGCAAGGUCCACCUCUUCUGGCCUUGACUCCGCACUGGAGCUGCACUCCGAGGGGGAUCCCCCAGCUGAACUUCUAGACCAGCUGGAGCCUCCUGAGCCCCCUGAGGAAGAACUUCAGGCUGCAGGGCCGGCUCCAGCCUACGCUCAGGUCGCACCAGCAGAGCUCGUGCCAGUUCCACCGGCAGCUCCCUCAUCAGCUCGAGCCCCACAGCAAGAGCCGGAACCUGCAUCCCCUUCUCCACCAGCUGCUGACCUGCAACUCCCGGAGGCUCCACAGCAGGGCUCAGCUCUUCAGCUCUACCUGUGGGCAACUCUUGACCCACACCUGCCAUUCCCCUGUCUCGUAGAUUUGCUUUGCAUCGUAUCUCUUGCUAUCCUUAUUAACCAGAGCUAUGUCAAUGAUAGAAUUUAAAUAAAAUGUAAGGUUUAGUCUUGUUUAAAAGGCUUGCCGUGGCAUUAAAUGCAUUCUCAAUAGCGUACAACCUUCACCGCUGUCCUGCUCUAGAACAUUUUCCCCAAUUCUGUACCCAAAUGGAUCUCCUCCCCUCUCUGCUGCUGCUAGAUCCUGAACGCCAUCCAUCUCAUAUCCCUGUCAUUUCCCCAUUCUACACUUUUUCACAACACUGCAAUCACAUUGUGUUACAGAACCAGGGAGGGACUGUUUCAGCUUGAGUUUGCUAGAAAGGGAAGAUCCUAACUAGCUCCCAAGGAUUUCUCAACAAAUAGUUUCCAGUUCUUUUUGUCACACAAGAAAUAUUUAUCGCACUCAAAUGCAGAAUGCACUCUUGAGUGAAUAGUCAAUGAAAGGACAUACUGACAGUCAGCGCACCUAGGACCGGCAGCCACCCUGGCGGUGUCCCUCCUCCCUGUCUUUGCUGUGGGGCUCGGGUCUGUGUGGUUUUCUUCCUGCAUGGGGGGUGUGUAGGCCGCAGCUCUCCUGUCGGCUCAUGUACGCCCUGGAGACGUGGUCCAUUCUAGGAGGACUCUCCACUGGCAUUUUUGGAGGCCCUGACACACAGGUGUUUCAGCAACCUCUGCUCUGGACUUUUUCCAAUCUUUCAGCUCAUACCAGAGCUCAAGGAAACUUCUGCCACCCUAAAUCUCAUUUUCCAAGUUGGAUUCCCAGCAGUGGAGUUUCUGGCUCACAGUCACACAAGUGGGGACACGCAUGUGCUCUCCACUGGGGUGUCCCCAAGGCCUAGGGGUAGCACCCACGGUUCCCAGACACAGAGAUUCAUGGUGGCCUCUGGGAAAUGCAGUUGGACAGGGUCUUAGGAGGUAACGAGGACAGCUCACGCCUUUGUCACAGCUCAAACACAGAGGAACAGCUCAGCGCAGGCCCACCUCUCCUCCGUGAGGAGGGACAAACUUUCUCUAGGUUUUCCUUCAAUUUUGCCUUCAGAAUAGCAAAUCUCAGAGUACCAUGGGCAGCAGGAACUAUAGGUUCCUAGGGGAAUUUACUCCAGUUUUUCCCCUGUGGACACUGCAGAGGAAACGUCCUUAAAUUUCAUUCUGCUACUAGGCAUUGAACAUAACCAAGGGCUUCUCACUGACAUGCAGCAACAGCCCUUUGAAAGUUUUUUUUUUUUUUUUUUUUUUUUUUUUUUUUUUGAAAUUGUGACACAGAGUCUCCCUAAGUAGCUAAGUGGUCCAGGAUGAUCUUGGGUACAUCAUUCUCUUGCUUCAGGUUUCGAGAGUGCGGGCAUUGGAGCGGUGUGCCGUCUCUCGUGGCUCCUGGAAGCCUUUCUGAAAGACCGACUUCAAAUUUCAUCUCUGGACUCUGGCUGACCACUUUCAGGUCUUGAGUCAAUUUGGUACCUCUAGCAAGCGGUGUGGACUCCAGCAGAGGGCUAGGGAUCCCUGAGAGGCCAGCACCUGGCUGCACAUGUGCUCACUGGGUGACCAUCAUUCCAAGCCCACCCAGUCUGGGUGAAUGGCCACACGUUCUGCACUGACCUCCCUCCCACACUGGCUCCUCAUGUGCACAAAUCCCACUUUUCAGCAAGGUAACCUGGGCAGGUGAGGUAGGAAGAGCCUGGCCUAGUGAGACUGGCUCCCCUCUAGCCCCAAAACUCCUGCAGGAGGAGGGGUAGGAACUGCAGACUGCUCUGUGUCCUGAGUCUGUGCCCAUCAACACUUGCAGGAACCAUCUUAUCAGUCUCCAGGCUCCACCUGCAACCCACAACCUCUACCAGCUUGGCCUAGGCUCCCUCCACCACCACACAAAAACACCACGUCCGUGCCAAAUGCUGCCAGGCUCCCAAACUAUGCAUUUCGACCCACUGCAUUUGGCAUAAAGAAAGGACCUUCCACACGGAGCUUGUGCUGGCAAGGCCUGGGGGCAUGGGCUGGGUGCUCAGUACCAGCAACCUGGAAAACAAUGUAUGCUUGAAAGAUUGCACCCUCCUGCACCACAUGUGGCCUACCUUCCACUCUACACGUUCAGCAUGACAACUCAGCGCCAUGAAUAUCACUAUGCACCUCUUGCACUUACGAACAAAAAGAGUAGCACAAACAAAAUUUAAACACAAAACCAAGUUCUGACACCUGAGAGAAAAAAGAGUACAAAGUGAAGCAAAACCAGUUUGGAAAUUGCUGAAAGAAGUUCAGUGAGAAAUUUCACGUGACCCAGCUAUCCCACUUCUAGGAAUCUUCCCCAGAGAGCUGAAGACAUCAGAGUACAGUGCAACAUGCACACCGAUGCUUGUAGCAGCACAAUUCACACCAGCUCAAUUCUGCUAGGAGCCUGAACACCCUUCCACAGGUGACUGGGUCAAAACGUGUGGUGUCCACCUCUCAGGAAAGAAAGCUGACUUGCCUAUAAAGGAGGACCAAUUUGAGACUUAGUCAGGAAGAUGGGUGCACCUAGGCAAUACAACGUUGAGUGCAAUGUAUCACACCCGGAAAGCUCACAUACUACAUAGUAACUCUCAUUGGCACAAGGCAAAAUGCAAAGCAAGGGCAUAAUAAAGGAAGGCCACAGAGAGACAAGGGCAUGGAUCUCUUACAAAUGGGAAGGGUCCAAGAGAAUGGGAGUGAGAAGAGAAGGAGAACAAAGUAGAACAGGGAUCCUACUAAUCUCAAUGCGUUUAGAUGAUAUGGAAACGUGACAUCAGACUAAUAAUAACAUCACCAAGAAGGACAACAGGGAGAGAAUUCCAAGAAGGACGAUUCCAAUGAAAACAACCCUCAGAUUGCACCUCACUGCAGAAAGAAUGACUAAGAUCAAGAAAGCAAUCGGUAACAAGCCUUGGGAGAGCGGUGGGGAGAAAGAAACCUUUCUCCAUUGCUGGUGUGAACGUAGACUAUCACAACCCCUGUGGAAAGCAGGCUGGAGAUGCCUCAAACCACUAAGGAUAACGAUUCCACUUGACAGAGCUAUUGCUCUUGUUGGUGUCUUCCUGAAAGACGGAAAAGCACAUACUUACCACAGCGAUCUAUGCACACCCACGUCCAUAGUGGCACAGUCUGUGGCAGUCAAUCUUGGAAACAGCCCAAACGUGCGGAAGAACGGUCAUGGCCGCUUCACAGUUCAGGGUCAACCCUAGAAACAGAACAAAUGGCCAUCCGAAGAUGGGUGCUUGUACAAGCUGUGCUUCAUGCACACAAUGGUGUGGGAUGGAUCUGCCACCAACAAGGAACAGCACAGCUGGAGUGGAGCUUGGUACACUGCUUGAAGAAGACUCACCAAGCAACACUGCUACUGAACCUCUAGAACAGGGCAGCGAUCCAGCAGCAGGGACACCUGCUGGAGGUCCUGCACAUGGCCUGCUUGGGAGCUGGGGAGAGGAGGACAGGAAGCGAUAGCAGUGGCCACAACAAAGUCUCGAGGGACGUGUGCAUGUGUCCUUCAUCAGCACAGGGUGAUGAUCUCCACAGCCUUGCGAAGACCUCACUGCCUGCUCUCCCUCUCCAUAGGGUCUUAUCCUACUGGGGACUACGCUGUGUGACUGAGUUCCGUAUCUAUGCGUGAAUCACUCCAAUGCACCUGGAAGGUAAAACCUGCUUUGAAGCCUCCAUGACUAACCACGCAGUGGCUGUAACUGGAGACUUUCACAUCUAGGGAGGAAAAUGAUUAUGGACAUUUGAGGUACUUCACAACACUCCCUACUGCAACUGCAAGAACUCUGAAAUCCACCCAUGAACACGGUCAUCCUACAAUUGCACACAUCACUGAGCAAUGACGCUGAGCACUGCUCCUUCACAGGAAAUGGACCCUCUGGCAGGAAGAACACACUUCAGGGCGUGCCUGCCACAUCUCAGGCAUCUACACAGUGGCUGCACUAAAACUUCAAAGUUCACCAGAGUCUAAAAUCACACUCAGGGGCUGGGGAUUUAGCUCAGCAGCACAGCACCUGUGUGGCAAGAACGACUUCGUGAGUUCGAUUCCUGGUACCAGAAAAAAACAAAAAACAAACAAAGAAACAAAAAAAAAUACAAAAAUACAAAAAAUACAAAAUAAAAAACUAAAAUCACACUCAGACUCUCUAGUUCUUCAUUGCUGUUUCGAAGGAGCACACAGAUUUGCUCCAACACAAACAGAAAGACAGGUGGUAGUCUUCUUAUGCCGGGGGGGGGGGGGCUCCGCUAUGGCCCCCAACACACGACCUCACUUCCUUGGCGACAGAUCCAAACAGAACUUAGAACCCUGUGGGCACUAGGCACCAUAGGUUAGUGCCAACUGCCUUCCCAGGCACUUAGCUGGACACAGGCAGUAGUAGAAAUGCUGUGUUGCUUUCCCAGGCCUCGAGGCACCAGCCUCAGGACCCCGCACAGGGAAACCGUGUGGCAACGAG
ensembl:lincRNA